GAGACACGGUCCGGACUCCUACGGGAGGCAGCAGUGGGGAAUAUUGGACAAUGGGCGCAAGCCUGAUCCAGCCAUACCGCGUGGGUGAAGAAGGCCUUCGGGUUGUAAAGCCCUUUUGUUGGGAAAGAAAUCCUGUCGAUUAAUACUCGGUGGGGAUGACGGUACCCAAAGAAUAAGCACCGGCUAACUUCGUGCCAGCAGCCGCGGUAAUACGAAGGGUGCAAGCGUUACUCGGAAUUACUGGGCGUAAAGCGUGCGCAGGCGG
rnacentral:rRNA from 1 species